AUGGCUUCCGGAUCCAGUAGCCCCCCCUCUGUCUCGUCAGCGCUUCAGCGGGAGCGGCCGGUCGUAUCGGGGCUGGGGAUCUCGGGCUCCCCUGGCUCGGCGCUUUCGUACUCGGCGGGCGGUGGUCCGGUGGAUGGCCCUGGUCUGGCGCAAGCCGAGGGCUGGCGCCGGCCGGGGCACUCCCGCAAGGCGAUGUGGCCGCGUCGUCGGGCUCUGCAGCAUCAGCGGGAGGUGGGCUGCAGCCCGGUCCGGGCGGCGUCCCCGUCCUCCUCGGAGCGGAGGCUGAUUCCGCCGGAGCUGUAUGGCCUCUGUUUCAGAUGCUUCGAAGAUGGCCAUCGGCGUCAGGACUGCACCAACGUGCCCCCUGCUGCGGCCUCCCUGGCCAUGUCUCCUCCCAGUGCAGGGAGCCUCGAAGAGCGGUGA
rnacentral:rRNA from 1 species